GAAAUAUGGUGUCCAAAGAAAAGCUGCUAACUUUUCUCUUUAGUGGUUAAAUUCCAUUAAUAUUUCU
rnacentral:tRNA from 1 species